GAUGAACGCUGGCGGCGUGCUUAACACAUGCAAGUCGAACGGAAAGGCCCAAGCUUGCUUGGGUACUCGAGUGGCGAACGGGUGAGUAACACGUGGGUGAUCUGCCCUGCACUUCGGGAUAAGCCUGGGAAACUGGGUCUAAUACCGGAUAGGACGAUGGUUUGGAUGCCAUUGUGGAAAGUUUUUUCGGUGUGGGAUGAGCUCGCGGCCUAUCAGCUUGUUGGUGGGGUAAUGGCCUACCAAGGCGUCGACGGGUAGCCGGCCUGAGAGGGGGUACGGCCACAUUGGGACUGAGAUACGGGCCAGACUCCUGCGGGAGGCAGCAGUGGGGAAUAUUGCACAAUGGGCGCAAGCCGGAUGCAGCGACGCCGCGUGGGGGGUGACGGCCUUCGGGUUGUAGACUCCUUUCGCUAGGGACGAGGCGUUUUUGUGACGGUACCUGGAGAAGAAGCACCGGCUAACUACGUG
rnacentral:rRNA from 1 species